AUUGAACGCUGGCGGCAGGCCUAACACAUGCAAGUCGAGCGGAGCGGCGGACGGGUGAGUAAUGCCUAGGAAUCUGCCUGGUAGUGGGGGAUAACGUCCGGAAACGGGCGCUAAUACCGCAUACUAUCAGAUGAGCCUCGGUGGGAUUGGGUAGUUGGUGGGGUAAAGGCCUACCAAGGCGACGAUCCGUAACUGGUCUGCGUGGAUGUUCAGUCACACUGGAACUGGGAAACGGUCCAGACUCCUACGGGAGGCAGCAGUGGGGAAUAUGGUACAAUGGGCGAAAGCCUGAGCCAGCAAGGCCGCGGGUGUGAAGAAGGUCUUCGGAUUGUAAAGCACUUUAAGUUGGGAGGCGUUACCAACAGAAUAAGCACCGGCUAACUUCGUGCCAGCAGCCGCGGUAAUUC
rnacentral:rRNA from 1 species